CCUACGGGAGGCAGCAGUGAGGAAUAUUGGUCAAUGGGCUUACGCCUGAACCAGCCAAGUCGCGUGAGGGAAGACUGCCCUAUGGGUUGUAAACCUCUUUUGUCAGGGAGCAACGCCGGCUACGUGUAGCCGGCCUGCCAGUACCUGCAGACAAAGCAUCGGCUAACGCCGUGCCAGCAGCCGCGGUAAUACGGGGGAUGCGAGCGUUAGCCGGAUUUAUUGGGUUUAAAGGGUGCGUAGGCGGAAUGCCAAGUCAGCGGUAAAAUCGCGGGGCUCAACCUCGCCCCGCCGUUGAAACUGGGGGUCUGGAGUGGGCGAGAAGUAGGCGGAAUGCGUGGUGUAGCGGUGAAAUGCAUAGAUAUCACGCAGAACUCCGAUUGCGAAGGCAGCAUACCGGGGGCGAACUGACGCUGAAGCACGAAAGCGUGGGUAUCGAACAGGAUUAGAUACCCUUGUAGUC
rnacentral:rRNA from 1 species